ACAAUAUCCCUUCCUCUCUUUACAAAAUCUAUCUAUAACCAUCACAAUAUCUUUGGAUUAACAACAACAUUAAUUCAGAAUUAACUUUGUCCACAGAUAUGGCUGCGUUUUCUGCUAAUCACGGAAUUAUCCUUCUACUAGCUAUAGUAAUUACCCUUUGUUACAAAAUAAUUUUUAGCCAUGAGUUCCAUCACGAACAGUAUCAUCUCUUGUUCAUCACUUGCACCUGUAAUUCACCAUUUCAUCCAUCAAUAUCCUCUCCAAUCACUUCAUAAACUGCCACUGCAAUAAACCCAUCUUUCUAAAUCCCUAAUUUCUCAUUCCAUCUCUUUCUCGAAUUCUAUCAGACCCAUCAUCAUGUGUCUUCUGAUUCUUCACAGAUUCCUUAAUUCGAACUCAACAUUUAGCUCAGAAUCCCAUCUCAUUUGCACCAUCAGAUGUAUCUCUUUCAAAACCCUGUUGAGACAGUACCUUUGAUUUUUCGUCAACAACCACAAGAAUCAUUGGAGAAUAACAGACAAACCACCGUCUCAGAUUUGAGUAAAGGGAAGAAGGCCGUCUUGUUUGUUGUACUAGGUUAACACGCACUAUAUACGAUGGAUCUGGCAAGGUCAUAGGCAGGGUUUGCGAGGAAGAUCAGUAUUUUUAAGGAUUGUCCUCAUCCAGAUGAGAAACAAAGGAUGCAAUUAAGUAGAGAUUUAGGUCUCGAACCUUGCCAGAUUAAUUCUGAUUUCAGAACAGAAGGACCCAGAUGAAGGUGUAUAUGCUUGUACACCUUGCUCUUGCUCUUAGAGCUUCGAAGGAGGAAGAGAGGGCAAGACAGGACGCUGAUGCAAGGGCUGCAGAAGAAAAAGGAGGUGGACAUGCGUCAAGUUCACAUGAUACAACUAUGACUGAAAACGCUAGCAUUAUGUAUGAUGGGCUAAUACAGGCUAUUUGAUGGUAGGUCCCAUGCUUUUGAUAUUUGUAUAAUUUGAUUUUUUUACUGUGAAUGUGAAUUAAAUGAUAUUCAAAAAUGAGGAUAUUAUAUCCUUGUAGUCCACAUCUAACCAUUUAUUCCAUGUGAAAUCUGUGAAGAUAUUCUUUUGAAAGAUUAAAGACUGGUAGAAUAUUUAUGUGCA